UGGCGAACGGGUGAGUAAUACGUGAGUAACCUACCUUUAACUCUGGGAUAAGCCCGGGAAACUGGGUCUAAUACCGGAUACGACCAAUCUCCGCAUGGGGUGUUGGUGGAAAGCGUUAUGUAGUGGUUAUAGAUGGGCUCACGGCCUAUCAGCUUGUUGGUGAGGUAACGGCUCACCAAGGCGACGACGGGUAGCCGGCCUGAGAGGGUGACCGGCCACACUGGGACUGAGACACGGCCCAG
rnacentral:rRNA from 2 species